rnacentral:rRNA from 1 species
GCAAGUCGAACGAGAAAGGGAUUGCUUGCAAUCCUGAGUAGAGUGGCGCACGGGUGAGUAACACGUAGAUAAUCUACCUUCAAGCCCGGAAUAACUAUCCGAAAGGAUAGCUAAUACCGGAUGAAGUAUUUUAGCAAAAGUUAAAAUAUGAAAGAUUGCCUCUUCUUGAAAGCAAUUGUUUGGAGACGAGUUUGCGGACCAUUAGUUUGUUGGUGGGGUAACGGCCUACCAAGACUACGAUGGUUAGCUGGUCUGAGAGGAUGAUC